rnacentral:rRNA from 1 species
ACGUACGCUGGCGGCACGCCUAACACAUGCAAGUCGAACGAAGUAGCAAUACUUAGUGGCAGACGGGUGAGUAACAUGUAGGUAUCUGCCCUUUGGCCUGGAAUAACACGAGGAAACUUGUGCUAAUACCGGAUAAGUCUUUACAGAGAAAGCUUUAUGCACCAUUGGAUGAGCCUGCACUUGAUUAGUUUGUUGGUGGGGUAAUGGCCUACCAAGACUGUGAUCAAUAGCUGAUUUGAGAGGAUGAUCAGCCACAUUGGGACUGAGACACGGCCCAAACUCCUACGGGAGGCAGCAGUGGGGAAUCUUGCACAAUGGAGGAAACUCUGAUGCAGCGAUGCCGCGUGAGUGAAGAAGGCCUUUGGGUUGUAAAGCUCUUUCGUCGGGGAAGAAAAUGACUGUACCCGAAUAAGAAGGUCCGGCUAACUUCGUGCCAGCAGCCGCGGUAAUACGAAGGGACCUAGCGUAGUUCGGAAUUACUGGGCUUAAAGAGUUCGUAGGUGGUUGAAAAAGUUAGUGGUGAAAUCCCAGAGCUUAACUCUGGAACUGCCAUUAAAACUUUUCAGCUAGAGUAUGAUAGAGGAAAGCAGAAUUUCUAGUGUAGAGGUGAAAUUCGUAGAUAUUAGAAAGAAUACCAAUUGCGAAGGCAGCUUUCUGGAUCAUUACUGACACUGAGGAACGAAAGCAUGGGUAGCGAAGAGGAUUAGAUACCCUCGUAGUCCAUGCCGUAAACGAUGUGUGUUAGACGUUGGAAAUUUAUUUUCAGUGUCGCAGGGAAACCGAUAAACACACCGCCUGGGGAGUACGACCGCAAGGUUAAAACUCAAAUGAAUUGACGGGGACCCGCACAAGUAGUGGAGCAUGUGGUUUAAUUCGAAGAUACGCGCAGAACCUUACCAACACUUGACAUGUUCGUCGCGACUCUAAGAGAUUAGAGUUUUCGGUUCGGCCGGACGAAACACAGGUGCUGCAUGGCUGUCGUCAGCUCGUGUCGUGAGAUGUUGGGUUAAGUCCCGCAACGAGCGCAACCCUCACUUUUAGUUGCCAUCAUUAAGUUGGGCACUCUGAAAGAACUGCCAGUGAUAAGCUGGAGGAAGGUGGGGAUGACGUCAAGUCCUCAUGGCCCUUACGUGUUGGGCUACACACGUGCUACAAUGGUAUCUACAACAGGAAGCAAGACUGCGAAGUUAAGCAAAUCCCUAAAAGAUACCUCAGUUCGGAUUGCACUCUGCAACUCGAGUGCAUGAAGCUGGAAUUACUAGUAAUCGUGGAUCAGCGUGCCACGGUGAAUGCGUUCCCGGGUCUUGUACUCACCGC